rnacentral:rRNA from 1 species
AGAGUUUGAUCAUGGCUCAGAGCGAACGCUGGCGGCAGGCUUAACACAUGCAAGUCGAGCGGGUGUAGCAAUACAUCAGCGGCAGACGGGUGAGUAACGCGUGGGAACGUACCUUUUGGUUCGGAACAACCCAGGGAAACUUGGACUAAUACCGGAUAAGCCCUUACGGGGAAAGAUUUAUCGCCGAAAGAUCGGCCCGCGUCUGAUUAGCUAGUUGGUGAGGUAAUGGCUCACCAAGGCGACGAUCAGUAGCUGGUCUGAGAGGAUGAUCAGCCACAUUGGGACUGAGACACGGCCCAAACUCCUACGGGAGGCAGCAGUGGGGAAUAUUGGACAAUGGGGGCAACCCUGAUCCAGCCAUGCCGCGUGAGUGAUGAAGGCCCUAGGGUUGUAAAGCUCUUUUGUGCGGGAAGAUAAUGACGGUACCGCAAGAAUAAGCCCCGGCUAACUUCGUGCCAGCAGCCGCGGUAAUACGAAGGGGGCUAGCGUUGCUCGGAAUCACUGGGCGUAAAGGGUGCGUAGGCGGGUCUUUAAGUCAGGGGUGAAAUCCUGGAGCUCAACUCCAGAACUGCCUUUGAUACUGAAGAUCUUGAGUCCGGGAGAGGUGAGUGGAACUGCGAGUGUAGAGGUGAAAUUCGUAGAUAUUCGCAAGAACACCAGUGGCGAAGGCGGCUCACUGGCCCGGUACUGACGCUGAGGCACGAAAGCGUGGGGAGCAAACAGGAUUAGAUACCCUAGUAGUCC